rnacentral:rRNA from 1 species
UUUCGGGUGCCGGGUCGGGGUCUGCUUGCAGCUUCUAGUUGCAUCCGCCCCGUCUUCGGUUCCUUGAGUCGGCGGUCUCGCGUGUGUCUGCAUUUGGCCCGCUUGGGGAAUCGGUGAUUCGGUGUCCACGCUUGCGAGGAUGCCGCAUUUUCUUAUUUCCCGGUGGGUUGAGGCGGGCGCACCUCGGCGUACAGUUGGUCAUCUAUCCGACCCGUCUUGAAACACGGACCAAGGAGUUUAGCGCAUGCGCGAGUCACUGGGACUUGAAACCCACAGGCGCAAGGAACGUAAUGCGUGCGAUCCGGUCGCCUAGGCGUAGGAGCAGCACGGCCCUGCGGCGCCGCAUGCGGCGUUGUGGAGGCGGAGCGCAUGCGAUGGGACCCGAAAGAUGGUGAACUAUUCCCGAGCAGGACGAAGCCGGGGGAAACUCCGGUGGAAGUCCGAAGCGGUU